rnacentral:tRNA from 1 species
GCCAUCUUAGCUCAGUUGGUAGAGCAACGGUUUUGUAAACCGUCGGUCCGGGGUUCGAGUCCCCGAGAUGGCU